GGAAAAGUAAAGGAAUUGCUUUGGAAACUGGAUGACUUGAGUGUUAAAGAGGAAAGUGGAACUCCAUGUGUAGCGGUGGAAUGCGUAGAUAUAUGGAAGAACACCAGUGGCGAAGGCGGCUUUCUGGACUGUAACUGACGUUGAGGCUCGAAAGUGUGGGUAGCAAACAGGAUUAAAUACCCUGGUAGUCCAUACCGUAAACGAUGAAUGCUAAGUGUUGGAGGGUUUCCCCCCUUCAGUGCCGCAGCUAACGCAUUAAGCACUCCGCCUGGGGAGUACGACCGCAAGGUUGAAACUCAAAGGAAUUGACGGGGGCCCGCACAAGCGGUGGAGCAUGUGGUUUAAUUCUAAUUUUCGCGAAAAACCUUACCAGGUCUUGACAUACCUUGGAAACUUCAAAGAUAAGACUUUCCCUUCGGGGACAUGGAGACAGGGGGGGCAUGGUUGUCGUCAGCUCGUGUCGUGAGAUGUUGGGUUAAGUCCCGCAACGAGCGCAACCCUUAUUAUUAUUUGCCAGCAUUCAUUUGGGCACUCUGGUGAGACUGCCGGUGACAAACCGGAGGAAGGUGGGGGAUGACGUCAAAUCAUCAUGCCCCUUAUGACCUGGGGCUACACACGUGCUACAAUGGAGGGUACAACG
rnacentral:rRNA from 1 species